ACUGCUCAGUAACACGUGGACAACCUACCNUGAAGAGGGGGAUAACCCCGGNAAACUGGGGAUAAUACCCCAUAGAACUAUGGAUGCUGGAAUGCUCUGUAGUUCAAAGGUUCCGCCGCUUCAGGAUGGGUCUGCGGCCGAUUAGGUUGUUGUUGGGGUAACGGCCCAACAAGCCUGUAAUCGGUACGGGUUGUGGGAGCAAGAGCCCGGAGAUGGAUUCUGAGACACGAAUCCAGGCCCUACGGGGCGCAGCAGGCGCGAAAACUUUGCAAUGCGAGAAAUCGUGACAAGGGAACUCCGAGUGCCUGUAAAAUCAGGCUGUCCGCCAGUGUAAACAACUGGCGAAGAAAGGGCCGGGCAAGACCGGUGCCAGCCGCCGCGGUAAUACCGGCGGCUCGAGUGGUGGCCACUAUUACUGGGCUUAAAGCGUUCGUAGCUGGUCUGUUAAGUCUCUGGGGAAAUCUUCCGGCUUAACCGGAAGGCGUCUCAGGGAUACUGGCAGACUAGGGACCGGAAGAGGUGAGAGGUACUCCAGGGGUAGGAGUGAAAUCCUGUAAUCCUUGGGGGACCACCUGUGGCGAAGGCGUCUCACCAGGACGGCUCCGACAGUGAGGAACGAAAGCUGGGGGAGCAAACCGGAUUAGAUACCCGGGUAGUCCCAGCUGUAAACGAUGCGCGUUAGGUGUAUCGGUGACCACGAGUCACCGAGGUGCCGAAGAGAAAUCGUGAAACGCGCCGCCUGGGAAGUACGGUCGCAAGGCUGAAACUUAAAGGAAUUGGCGGGGGAGCAC
rnacentral:rRNA from 1 species